rnacentral:lncRNA from 1 species
AAUAAUUCACGUUUAUGUUAAUAAUUUAUUCGUUUGGUUUAUAUAUUGUUCGUUGUUCGAUAGAUAUCCUAACCUAAAGAGAGAGCCAAAUUUGUAAUUGUGUCGCAAUAUUCUGAGCUUUGUAAUCAACGAACCUUUUCUUUUUGUUGGGAUCUUGAUAACAUGAUUAUAAGAAUCGACCACUGCAUUACACGUUGUUGUAAAAAAAAAAAUUGAUGCCCUGAACGCAUAAAGUAUGAGCUUCACCUGCUUUAGGUCAGGGUCGGUCAUGUGAGACACUGUCUCUUAUAUACUGCGAUAAUUA